CUUUCAUCUUGUGUGGAUUCAACCAUCAGAUGCUUGAUGGUGCUGUGAAGAGGAGACUCCAUGUUUGUGAACCAAGGCGUUGGCAGAGAUGAAUCAAAGGAUGCAAGAUAGAUGCAUCACAUUCACUGAGAUGGAGAAGUUUGGGGAGAGGACAAUUUGGGAGAGGAAAACAAGAGUCCUGCUUUGUCCGAGUUCUAUCCCCUUCAGACCCCAAUGGAGAGGUCUGGGCUACAGCUCUCUAUUUGGGAGUUCACAUGGUGCUGUGGUCACUGAGGCUGUGAACCAUGUGAAGCGAGAAGAGUGAGGAGAACACCUCCAGUGUUAAGAGGUGGCACCGGAAGUAUCACAAAAAGACACUGAGAAGAUGCAGCUCAUGAGCAGGAGGAGAACACGAUGUGACAGGAUCCAAAACAAGCAUGUUUCAAGGAGGGAGUGAGGAAUGCCACUGCAAGGUCUACAGCAUGAGGGCAGAGAAGUGGCCACUGGAUCUGGUGACAUGGAGG
rnacentral:lncRNA from 1 species